rnacentral:rRNA from 1 species
UGGGGAAUAUUGCACAAUGGGCGCAAGCCUGAUCCAGCAAUGCCGCGUGCAGGAUGAAGGCCUUCGGGUUGUAAACUGCUUUUGUACGGAGCGAAAAGGUCUGCCCUAAUACGGUGGGCUCAUGACGGUACCGUAAGAAUAAGCACCGGCUAACUACGUGCCAGCAGCCGCGGUAAUACGUAGGGUGCGAGCGUUAAUCGGAAUUACUGGGCGUAAAGCGUGCGCAGGCGGUUAUAUAAGACAGAGGUGAAAUCCCCGGGCUCAACCUGGGAACUGCCUUUGUGACUGCAUAGCUAGAGUACGGUAGAGGGGGAUGGAAUUCCGCGUGUAGCAGUGAAAUGCGUAGAUAUGCGGAGGAACACCGAUGGCGAAGGCAAUCCCCUGGACCUGUACUGACGCUCAUGCACGAAAGCGUGGGGAGCAAACA